CGGGGUGUAGCGCAGUUUGGUAGCGCGCUUGGUUCGGGACCAAGAGGCCAGGAGUUCGAGUCUCCUCACUCCGACCA
rnacentral:tRNA from 1 species